AUUGAACGCUGGCGGCAGGCCUAACACAUGCAAGUCGAACGAGUGGCGGACGGGUGAGUAAUGUCUGGGAAACUGCCUGAUGGAGGGGGAUAACUACUGGAAACGGUAGCUAAUACCGCAUACCAUCAGAUGUGCCCAGAUGGGAUUAGCUAGUGGGUGUGGUAACGGCUCACCAAGGCGACGAUCCCGAGCUGGUCUGAGAGGAUGACAAGGCACACGGGAACUGAGACACGGUCCAGACUCCUACGGGAUGCAGCAGGGGGGAAUAGUGCACAAUGGGCGAAAGCCUGAUGCAGCCAUGCCGCGUGUAUGAAGAGGGCCUUCGGGUUGUAAAGUACUUUCAGCGGGGAGGCGUUACCCGCAGAAGAAGCGCCGGCUAACUCCGUGCCAGCAGCCGCGGUAAUUC
rnacentral:rRNA from 1 species